rnacentral:rRNA from 1 species
ACGAACGCUGGCGGCGUGCUUAACACAUGCAAGUCGAGCGGUAAGGCUCCUUCGGGAGUACACGAGCGGCGAACGGGUGAGUAACACGUGAGUAAUCUGCCCUUCACUUCGGGAUAACCACCGGAAACGGUGGCUAAUACCGAAUACGACCAGUCUUCGCAUGAGGUGCUGGUGGAAAGUCUUUUCGGUGAAGGAUGUGCUCGCGGCCUAUCAGCUUGUUGGUGGGGUAAUGGCCUACCAAGGCUUCGACGGGUAGCCGGCCUGAGAGGGUGACCGGCCACGCUGGGACUGAGACACGGCCCAGACUCCUACGGGAGGCAGCAGUGGGGAAGAUUGGACAAUGGGCGAAAGCCUGAUCCAGCAACGCCGCGGGAGGGAUGACGGCCUUCGGGUUGUAAACCUCUUUCAGUACCGACGAAGCGCCCUGUCGGGUGGUGACGGUAGGUACAGAAGAAGGACCGGCCAACUACGUG